rnacentral:rRNA from 1 species
GACGAACGCUGGCGGCGUGCUUAACACAUGCAAGUCGAACGAAGUGGCGAACGGGUGAGUAACGCGUAAUCAACCUGCCCUUCAGAGGGGGACAACAGUUGGAAACGACUGCUAAUACCGCAUACUGAAGGAGGGGAUUGCGUCUGAUUAGCUAGUUGGAGGGGUAACGGCCCACCAAGGCGAUGAUCAGUAGCCCGGCUGAGAGGAUGGGCGGCCAACUUGGGACGGGGACACGGCCCAGUCUCCUUCGGGAGGCAGCAGUGGGGACUCUUCCGCAAUGGACGACAGUCUGACGGAGCAACGCCGCGUGAUUGAUGACGGCCUUCGGGUUGUAAAGGUCUGUUAAUCGGGACGCGGUACCGGAAUAGAAAGCCACGGCUAACUACGUGCCAGCAGCCGCGGUAAUAC